rnacentral:lncRNA from 1 species
AACUAGCAAAGACAGAGUGUGCUACUACGCUAUCCAAAGAUAGGAACAAAACUGCACUAAAACACAACGACUAUGUAAGACAUCGAUUAAUGCAUACACCGACGUCUAUAGUGACCUUAGACGUUGGUUAAUGACAUGUUUGAAGUCUUUAUAGUGCUCCUAAACGUCGGUUGGUUCCCACACCGACGUCUAUAUGGUGCUAUUAGAUGUCGGAGUAGGCC